UACGAAGGGGGCUAGCGUUGUUCGGAGUUACUGGGCGUAAAGGGCGCGUAGGCGGCGCAUCAAGUCAGGCGUGAAAGCCCUGGGCUCAACCCGGGAAUUGCGCUUGAGACUGGUGUGCUUGAGUACGGGAGAGGAUAGUGGAGUUCCCAGUGUAGAGGUGAAAUUCGUAGAUAUUGGGAAGAACACCGGUGGCGAAGGCGGCUAUCUGGACCGUAACUGACGCUGAGGCGCGAAAGCGUGGGGAGCAAACAGG
rnacentral:rRNA from 1 species